UCAACAAGACACAAAAAUAGUCCACUACAAACAAUAACAAGAUUACAAGAAUAAAAGGAUAGAUAGUGAGAUAUAGAUUUGUUACAAAACUUAGGAAUAAAGUUUGAUUCAAACACUAAACCCCUAAUUAAUGUAACAACAACACCACACUCUUAUGGUGAUCGCCAAGGGAAUCAGUCACCUCAAGAUCCACCGUUUCCAAGAAAAGAAUAAUAUUGGUUUUUCCAAGCUCUAUACUAAAGAUGACUUUUCCAAGCCCUAACUAAGAACUAUGCUGAGGUAUUGCACUCUCCAAAGAGAGAAUAAGUCUUUCAAAUGUUCAUCAUUCAUUAACUAAAGAGAAAAUGACCUAAAAUAGAUUAUAUAUAGUAUAUUACAAAAGAAAGAUAAAAUGACUCCAAUGCCCUUAAUGAGGUGGGUGGCAAUGGAGUGUCAUUUAGACAAGGCUAAAAGACCUAAAUGACCUUGAGGCUAAGUGACCAAAAUGACCUUAAUAAAAGAGGCCAAAACCGUGAACCAUCAAAUGUGGUCCAAACCCAUGAGUCCUCUAGUCUUCAAGGCUCCAAGCAAUCCUCCACACACGGGUUUGUUUGAUGGCAUGCUCAAAAUAACCCCUACAAGUAUGAUCCAGUGCCCUCCAUGGGACCAAAGCUUGAUUCUUCACGUAGUGACUUUGAAUGAUGCCAUCGAAAGCUAAGGAGGCCAUUUCACUUGUAUCACAAACCAUCGCAGUCUUCCUUCCCGCAAGUUGUCUUCCACUGAAGCCACUCCCACCUUCUCCCGAAUAGUCUCAAACACUGUGAAAGAAUAUUUAUCAUAUUAUUUGUUGGGGUGAGUGUGGUGCAUAUUUAGACAAGUUUAUAUCUGCGGAAGCUGCUUCUAAGUUCUAACUGCUUGUAAAUAUUGGACUCUACAAUAUGUAAAGCUUCAAGGCACUUGACCAUGAUACUUUUAACUUCACGCAGACCAAGAAAGAAUUGUUGAAGGUGAGACCUGUUUUGUAAAUAAAAUUCCCAAUAUGAUCUUGGGGCUUGAAGCAAAUUAUAAAAACCAAAGAACUACUUGAAUAAGAAUUUUUCUUGUACCCUGUAUUUUGGUUAUAAAAAAAAAUAAAAAAAAAUAAAAAAAAAUAAAAAAAAUUGUACCUGUAUAAACUUAUCAGUUCUGCAUGACACUUUGUGCAUCUAUAUUGAAGCAGCAGCGGAUUCCUCAAAAGAAAUAGUAAAGAUAGGUGGAAGUACAGUACUUUUUUCCUUGUAUAUUGGACCGUGUAGGCUAGAAGAUCCACAAAAGUUACUGAUAUAACAGUAAUCGCAUCAAAACAUAGUCUUGCGAGCAGUUAAUUGGAGGAGGGUUGGUUUUAGUUCUUCUAGCUGUUUUCCCCUUUUAAAUCUCUUCACUCCAGCCCUUAAGUACUCUGGACCCUCCGUUAAAUUCCCGUCUUUUUUUGAUCUAAGAAAUGGAAGAAACUUAAGUGGUGCUAGCAGUUCCAAAUUUAAUUAUAAACUAUAAGCUGGUCACUUUUUCUUAUAUUCUGUAUCUUGAACAGGUUCUUACGAUUAUUAUCGGAAUAUGAUUGGGCCUUCUCUCCUUUAAUCGUUGAUUUUGAUGGCGAAUUUUCAACCGAGGAGAAAAAUAAAAUUAACGUAAGUACCAAGUCAAAUAAUCAAUCUUUGGAGGGCGUUCCAUGCUCUUUUCUUGUUUCUCCAUGUAGUAGUUUUAUAAAUCUAAAUACUAUUUCCGUAUGAUAUUGACAGGAGAAUUUCAUGAGAAGUAGAGAAGAGCAUGAAAAGGACACACAAAAGUUAAGUCCUGCAAUGUUCUUAGCUACCAAGUAUGACAUCGCAUCUGAAGCAUGGACAAGAUCCUGACCAACUACAGCAGUAAGUGUUCCUCAAUUAUCAAACACUUUUAUUAAUUCUUCGUCUGAAUUUCAUGGAAUCUUGUUCACCGAAACAGAAACAUGUGAAGAAGCAUUUUGUUUUGCAUCCUAAUAUUGAUAUAUUGCACCCAAAUAGUUUGUGGUCAACUUAAGACAAUUGAUCCUAGAAUGUAUGACCAAGGUUUCUACUGUGGAGAAGCGGCCUCUGGAGGGGCUCAUGGAAAUCUUAGUUUCCAUCUGCAACCCAUUUUUCUUCGCUGCCUCACUACCAUAAACAUGCUCACCACAAAAGUAAUUCUUAAUUACUAUAUGCAAACAACAUGAUUUGUCAAUAUUGUUUGUGAAUUGUGAUAGCGUCAUUUAGGAAAAAGGAGAAGUAUACGAUUGUAACUUACCACAAAAAAAAGUAUUUCAUAUGAUUGUAACCAUGAUGUGUACUGUUCUUUAUUUGGACCAGUGAGGUCGGAACUAAAGCUUCACCUCUCAAACUGAACGUUAGCUUUAUUGAAUAGGAAACUUAUCAAACAUAUAUACUACUGAAAAUUACACCAGAUCUAUGUUUCCACUUCUCGUGCAGCUUUUUCUCUUUUAUACUACUAGAUAAUGAUAAGUAACUAGAAGUAAAUCUUUUUAAAAAAAUAUUUUUUUUUCUGGUAAACCCCUUCAUCAGACCCUUUACUGAGGAGCUCAAUGUUGAUCCUAUUUGUGCUCAUCUCCCUUGGUGGCUCGAUCCGUCAACCUUAUGGUUGGAGGUGGAGGGUCCUUACCUUUAGGUUAUCCCUCUCUCAUCUUGAAAUUUUCAUAAGUCAAUCAUGGAUGAUUAGCUUGGGACACAGGACUACUUAGAUGAUAAAUAUUGGUAUUGUUAUGGAUAGUGAGGUAUCACAAUAUCAAGCAAUCAAACAAUAAAAUAAAGCAUUUAAGCCUUCUAUGGAACCAGGACAACGCCUUUAGUUUAACACAAUCUGAGCAUGUAGAUGUGGCACCCUGACUAGUUUUUAGGAAAUAUUGUCGUUCAGUGGCCUUGAGAACAACUUCUCUCAUGAUUGUUGUGUGUGUUAAUAAGUUUUCAUGAUUGCUAUGGCUUUUCCUCUGGCAUUAAUGUGGGUACUGUUGUGUACUAGGAGCUAAGAAGACUGGUGGCUUAUUCAACUAGCAGUGCAAAUUUGUUGACCAAACUGAUUUUGCAAGAUGGAUAUGAUUCUUAUGGAUGGAAAGUAUGUUAAAACAUCAAUUUUUCCCGUACCUGUGAAUUUGUUUGCUAUAAUAUGUCAAUCAUAGUGCCGUUGAUUUUUAUCCUGCAGUGUCUUCUCCGGACGCCUCUGAGCAACUAUGAUGUUGUUGCUCUUCUCCACAGGGAUAAAUUGCCCUACCCCCAGCAUCUUCUCUUUCCAUCCGAACUUGAACAAGGUUCUUUUUCUCAUUUGUUUCUACAUGAUAUCCACCUAUAUUUUCUUCCCCUCCUUUUCAUCCAUUUAGCAUCGGAACUCUGUACUAAUUAGUCUUAAACACUUCCAAUAUUUUUCUAGAGCGAUGUGCAGUGCGUGGGCAUGCAACCAAGAUUUUCCAUCCUUUCUUUUCUCCUGGAGACUUCAAAGUGAACUCUGGGGAAUUGAAAAGUAAGCUGAUGGUGAAUUUUGAUCCAGUAAGGUGCUUUAUUGCCGACAUCGAGGCAAGUACUUACAUUUGCUGGCAUUUUUUCCUUCUGAGGUGCAAAUCAGUUAUUCAAUCCCUAGAACCCUUUGUUCCCAUGAUGCUGAAGACUUUCCCUUUUCUUCCUUCCCCUAUUUGAUGCAGAAAGGAUUUUCCGAUGAGGUGAAGGUAUGGUAUGAUGCUGUGGGUGGUGAUGCUCUUGGUCUUACGUUCGGAAAAGCAAGUUCAAAGGUAUGCUUUCUAGAUGUACUGAAGUAACAAAUGAUGUUUGGAAGGUUUAAUAACAAGAUACCUGCAUUCUGUUUUCCAGAAACGGAAGCCUGAUCGCUCCACUAUUUC
rnacentral:lncRNA from 1 species